GGGGUUAUAGCGCAGUGGUAGCGCGUCUGCUUUGCAUUAUUAUUGAGUGGUCUGCAGAAGGUCAAGGGUUCGAUCCCCUUUAACUCCA